CAGUAGCCGCGGUAAUACAGAGGGUGCGAGCGUUAAUCGGAUUUACUGGGCGUAAAGCGUGCGUAGGCGGCUUUUUAAGUCGGAUGUGAAAUCCCUGAGCUUAACUUAGGAAUUGCAUUCGAUACUGGGAAGCUAGAGUAUGGGAGAGGAUGGUAGAAUUCCAGGUGUAGCGGUGAAAUGCGUAGAGAUCUGGAGGAAUACCGAUGGCGAAGGCAGCCAUCUGGCCUAAUACUGACGCUGAGGUACGAAAGCAUGGGGAGCAAACAGGAUUAGAUACCCGUGUAGUCCCUGUUUCUUAUAC
rnacentral:rRNA from 1 species